UACAGAGGGGGCUAGCGUUGUUCGGAAUUACUGGGCGUAAAGCGCACGUAGGCGGCUUUGUAAGUUAGAGGUGAAAGCCCAGGGCUCAACCCUGGAAUUGCCUUUAAGACUGCAUCGCUAGAAUUGUGGAGAGGUAAGUGGAAUUCCGAGUGUAGAGGUGAAAUUCGUAGAUAUUCGGAAGAACACCAGUGGCGAAGGCGACUUACUGGACACAUAUUGACGCUGAGGUGCGAAAGCGUGGGGAGCAAACAGG
rnacentral:rRNA from 1 species